rnacentral:rRNA from 1 species
GACGAACCGUGCGAACGUUAUUCGGAAUCAUUGGGCUUAAAGGGCGCGUAGGCGGCGGCGUAAGUUGGAAGUGAAAUCCCAUCGGCUCAACCGUGGAAUUGCUCCCAGUACUGCGUCGCUCGAGGGGGAUAGGGGUCUGCGGAACUACCGGUGGAGCGGUGAAAUGUGUUGAUAUCGGUGGGAACGCCAGUGGCGAAAGCGGCAGACUUGACCCUUCCUGACGCUGAGGCGCGACAGCGUGGGGAGCAAACAGG